rnacentral:rRNA from 1 species
GACACGACUCUCGGCAAUGGAUAUUUCAGUUUUCGCAUCGAUGAAGAGCACAGCGAAAUGUGAUACGUGGUGCGAAUUGCAGAAUCCCGCGAAC